AAAAAAAUUAAUUAUAUGUUUUUCCCGAGCAACUAAAAAUGCUUGUUUCUAUUAUACAAUUUUUGAAAGUAGAUGUUAAUAUAUUUUUUUUGCAGUAAAAAAUGAUGAUCGUGUCAUUACAAUUAUUAAGUAUAAUGUGUUUUAAAUACGUAAUAUCAAAUGGCCAAACAUUUGACCACAAGGAUUUUAAUAAAUUUAAACCAGCAUAUCUGUUUUUGGGACAAUGUUUAAAGAAAAUAAAUAUUUCGGAUAGUUUAUUUAAACCAGGAAAUACCAAAGAAGAAAGAGGUGGCCUUUCUGAAUCCUAUAUAUACGACAAUUUUGAUUUCAUGAUAUUACUAAGGGAACGCAAAAUAACUUUGGAUGAAUACGAGACAGACUUUGGACUACGCACAUGUAUAUUUCAAAUAGACGAUGAAGACUGUCCGACUAGAUGCAAAGAUUGUUUAAAACAAUUACUAAAUUUCCUCAAAAAUAAUCAAAAAUGUCUCCCCAGUAAAGUAACAGGAAACGAUUUAGAAUUUUUUGAACUGUUCAAUUUUCCUGAAGAAAAUGACGAGUGUGUAUGUUAAAAUGAUAUUAUGGUUACAUUUUAAAGAUCUUAAUUAUCAUUUGCAAAUAAACAAAUAAAGUUCUCUAGUUUUGUAUUAUAAUAUUUAAGUCUCCAAUAGAGACAAAUUUAUACAACUUAUGAUAUUAAAUGCCUGAAAAUCAAGAGCAAUUUUAAGAUCCGUUUAGCAAUUACAAUGAAACAAUUUUGAUGUAUACAAAUUAUGGUUACAUUAAAAUAUGAAAAAUGUAAUUAAUAAAAAUAUGUUAGUUUUAAAUAGAUCGCAAA